GUGGGGAAUAUUGGACAAUGGGCGCAAGCCUGAUCCAGCCAUGCCGCGUGAGUGAUGAAGGCCUUAGGGUUGUAAAGCUCUUUCGCCGACGAAGAUAAUGACGGUAGUCGGAGAAGAAGCCCCGGCUAACUUCGUGCCAGCAGCCGCGGUAAUACGAAGGGGGCUAGCGUUGUUCGGAAUCACUGGGCGUAAAGCGCACGUAGGCGGACAUUUAAGUCAGGGGUGAAAGCCUGGAGCUCAACUCCAGAACUGCCCUUGAUACUGGGUGUCUCGAGUCCGGAAGAGGUAAGUGGAACUGCGAGUGUAGAGGUGAAAUUCGUAGAUAUUCGCAAGAACACCAGUGGCGAAGGCGGCUUACUGGUCCGGUACUGACGCUGAGGUGCGAAAGCGUGGGGAGCAAACAGGAUUAGAAACCCCGGUAGUCC
rnacentral:rRNA from 1 species